AACACAAAGUAAAGGUAUGGUAAACACAAGAGAUCUAUGAACUACCACAGAGUACAUUUGAUCUACACUACCAGUACCUUAACCCUACUUUUUCAAGAUGGCUAAUUCCACUUUUACAAUUAUAAGUAAUCAAUGUUCUACCUUCUAAAAAUCUACUGCAAAGCCGGCAACUAAACGAGCUAUACUUUCGUGCAGCAUUAUACUUAACACUUCAAAUUGCAAUACUGCAGCUAAACCUCGGAGCUAAUGUCACAGAUACCAGUAAGUAACCAAUGUAACAGGGACAAAGGUUUGAAACAGUAACAGGAACUGGGUGUCGACCGAGGUGUCGACAAAGAAAAAGGGCAACAUAAACACCUGGCAGUGUGUUUGUAGUGAGACCACUAACAGCUAUAAAUCAAUCCCGUAGAUUCUCCCUAAAAGUUACCAAUUCUGCUUCGCCCCUAUAAUGGACAAUCACAUUCUUCAAGAAUGAGAGAAACUGUAAGAGUAAGGGAACGUAAAAUACCGUCGCACUGAAAAAACAAAAAAAAAACAAGUCGUCUAGUAAAUCACGUUGUAAAAUGGCAACUGUCUCCCGAUCCUACGAAGAUAAUGGAAGACACCAACACCGAACGUAACCUCCAAUGGAAACAGCGACACACGACCGCGUCACUUGUAUAUUCACGAGUUAAAUAUGCGAAACAGGAGGAACAAGAUGUCAACUGCCAUGCAAAAGCAGAGUCCAUAUCACAGCAACUCGCCCCCGCUGUCCACAUAACAAAAACCUAUAAAACAAAAAUCAAAUUGCAAGAGAACUUCCACAGCAGAGACUCCACAUCCAUCCCUCAUCAGCACACUCCCCUUAGAAUCCGUUGGGCAGAACUGAAGAAUGGGACACAAAGUGUCAAGGUAGACACGGCCCCCUCCUUCUAUAGAUGUUACAAAAGCAGUAAAAUGAAAAUCGAAGCUGUAAGCUGAUUCUUUGAAAAACAACUGCAUUAGUCGGCUCUCACUGGCAUCCUCGAUGUCUAAACUGUCCGUUAGGAUGUGUGCAUCGGAGUCGAAAAACCUGCAAGCGAGCUACAAAAAUAAAACCAAGUGCAACUGUACUGGAAUGAACUCUCGCAACACGCCCCUGCAAUCCUCAUCCGAAAUCAACCAACUGAAAUGCAAACAGGUCCCAAACUUGUCUCUAAUGACGCCACCUAAAACCUGUUGUCCUUAUAAAUCCCUCGGAAGCCCCCUCUAUAAAACCUUGUGACAUGUAACUGCACCAAAUGCUGGAAUCAAUGCAGCAAAACCUGUGCAAAAAUUCCCCGUAUUGUUGAUCUAAUGGGCCCGCAACAUCGAGACUUGCUCCGUGAGUCAACAACAAUAAAUGCCACUUGAAAACAGUAAAAUAAACUUCCAUUCUCCUGGGUGCUGAAGUCGCUGAGGUCACUGGCACUUAAAGAAAAUCGCCCCUAAAAGUGUCAUGAGGGUCCUCUCGCCACCAUUCACCUUUCUAUGAAUCAAAACCCUGGAACACUUCUAAGAUCGGCAAGGGAACCAAAAAAACCACACAAUUGGAACCCCAGUUGAAAAACACGUCCUCAAGCAUGACAAGCUCCUGUAGUUGCAUCAAACAGCGAUGGUCAUGUGACACGUUUGUUUUGAAGGUGGAAUAAUAAGAACAAACAGACUCACCUGAUGUAUUUGCCUUGCGAAUUAUUUCACCGCCAACAUCCACCACAUGGAUCACCCUACUAACUCUGAUUUGGGAAAAUUUUCACAGGAGGUACGGUAAAGCAACUUGUUCCACCAAAACCUCUGCUUCAGGAUGAUUUAAUGGACAUCCCACUGCGUCAACCAUCAUAUACUCCCUUGUAGGAAUCUCCUUUGGAACGGUAACUGGAGAUUUUUCUUCCGCUACCCCUGCAUAAUAAAAUACAACAGCAGUAUGUUCGGAUCGGCAAAGUUCCUUCCACAAACUUCAUGGUCAAUGCGUCCUGGUCAACGGCACCAAUUCUGUAGUGUACUUAACCCCCAGGUUCUACGCUAAUCUCACACUACAAGAACACGGAAAUAAAAUAAACCCGGCAACGUUUAAAAAUGGCCACCCGAAUGACUAUUCCCUCUAAAACUAAACAAG